rnacentral:rRNA from 1 species
UACGUAGGGUGCGAGCGUUAAUCGGAAUUACUGGGCGUAAAGCGUGCGCAGGCGGUUGUACAAGACAGGCGUGAAAUCCCCGGGCUCAACCUGGGAACUGCGCUUGUGACUGUACGACUAGAGUACGGCAGAGGGGGGUAGAAUUCCACGUGUAGCAGUGAAAUGCGUAGAGAUGUGGAGGAAUACCGAUGGCGAAGGCAGCCCCCUGGGCCAGUACUGACGCUACUGCACGAAAGCGUGGGGAGCAAACAGG